rnacentral:rRNA from 1 species
GACAGAGGGUGCAAACGUGUUCGGAAUUACUGGGCGUAAAGCGCGUGUAGGCGGCUCGGAAAGUCGGGUGUGAAAGCCCUGGGCUCAACCUAGGAAGUGCACUCGAAACUUCCGAGCUGGAGUUCGGAGAGGAAGGCGGAAUCUCGGUGUAGAGGUGAAAUUCGUAGAUAUCGAGAAGGAACACCGGUGGCGAAGGCGGCCUCUGGACAGCAACU